rnacentral:rRNA from 1 species
AUUGAACGCUGGCGGCAGGCCUAACACAUGCAAGUCGAACGGUAGCACAGAGAGCUUGCUCUCGGGUGACGAGUGGCGGACGGGUAAGUAACGGCCGGGUAACUGGCCGAGGGCGGGGGAGAACUAAUGGAAACGCUAGCUAAUCACGCGUAAGGUCGCAAGACCAAAGUGGGGGACAGGCGGGCCUCACUCCAUCGGAUGUGUCUCGCUGGGAUUAGCUAGUAGGUGGGGUAAUGGCUCACCUAGGCGACGAUCCCUAGCUGGUCUGAGAGGAUGACCAGCCACACUGGAACUGAGACACGGUCCAGACUCCUACGGGAGGCAGCAGUGGGGAAUAUUGCACAAUGGGCGCAAGCCUGAUGCAGCCAUGCCGCGUGUAUGAAGAAGGCCUUCGGGUUGUAAAGUACUUUCAGCGGGGAGGAAAGCGGUGAAGUUAAUAGCUUCACCGAUUGACGUUACCCGCAGAAGAAGCACCGGCUAACUCCGUGCCAGCCGCCGCUGUAA